CUUUAAAAUCUUGUUUUGGCACAGUACUACUAGAAGGUUGCCUAACCCUGAGCUAGAGCAUCAGAGAUUAGCCUUUACUCCUUUGCAGAACAUACAACUGAAUUUCAUUCAGUGUCUAAACUGUUUGCAGAGAGAAUUUUGAGUUUUGGGUCAAUCCAAGAAACAGUUCUUAAAGAGAAAAUACACUCUAACAUUGAAUAAAUAUAUGUGAAAUAUCAAGUCUGGCCAGGGCUGUUGGAAGGAUUUUUGCAUCCCUAGGCAAAAAUAUAAUUUGCCGCCCCUUCCACCCCCCCAUUAUGUGACAUCACAACCAUAUGACC